UACGGAGGGUGCUAGCGUUGUUCGGAAUCACUGGGCGUAAAGGGCGUGUAGGCGGUCUGUUAAGUCUGAUGUGAAAUCCCCUCGCUCAACGAGGGAACUGCGUCGGAUACUGGCAGACUCGAGUACCGGAGAGGAAGGUGGAAUUCCCGGUGUAGCGGUGAAAUGCGUAGAUAUCGGGAAGAACACCCGUGGCGAAGGCGGCUCUCUGGAACGCAACUGACGCUGAGACGCGAAAAGCGUGGGGGAGCAAACAGG
rnacentral:rRNA from 1 species